GUCUCUCGGUUUAUUUAGUAUUAUACCGAAAUCGAAGCUCUUUCUAUUCGUCGACUGACAUCGACCGUUUAUACACCACUGAAAUAUUUAUACUGUACUGUAUAUAACGUGUAUUGAUACAUGAUAACAUACUAAUCGUGUCUACUAUGACACGUUACUGUUACCGCACCACAGACGAGAACACGGUUCCGCCACGUCGAAGGUCUUGCAGUGCUCGUAACUGAAUUUGAUGGAAAACUCGUUAUCGAAAGACCGAGCAACGAUAAUUUGCGUAUGAAACGUACCCUUCGCCGAAUUCCAUGCGACACUGCUCGUCCAUCGUAAACGUCUCGCGAAUGGUGUCUCUCAGUUGGGAGAGGCCAUCGUGCUUCGGCUUAUUCGACAAACAGGACCACCGUCUGCAAUUUGCCAACGAUAUCCCAACAUGUGGGACACUCACAUGUGUGCUACUUCGUGAGCGAUGAUAAAGGCGCUGGUCAAGCCCUCGUCUCUAUUUAAC
rnacentral:misc_RNA from 1 species